GAGUUUGAUCCUGGCUCAGGACGAACGCUGGCGGCGUGCUUAACACAUGCAAGUCAAGGGGGCCCGGUAGCAAUACUGGGCAACCGGCGAACGGGUGCGUAACACGUGAGCAACCUACCGAGAUGUGGGGGAUAGCCGGUCUAACGGCCGAGUAAUACCGCAUACGCUCUCGAUGAGGCAUUUCAUUGAGAGGAAACCUACGGGACAUUUCGAGGGGCUCGCGGCCUAUCAGCUAGUUGGAGAGGUAACGGCUCACCAAGGCAACGACGGGUAGCUGGUCUGAGAGGAUGGCCAGCCACAUUGGGACUGAGAUACGGCCCAGACUCCUACGGGAGGCAGCAGUGGGGAAUCUUGCGCAAUGGCCUAACGGCUGACGCAGCGACGCCGCGUGUGGGAUGAAGCUCUUCGGAGUGUAAACCACUGUUGCCCGGGACGAAUAGCUCGAUUAAUCGAGCCUGACGGUACCGGGUGAGGAAGCACCGGCUAACUCCGUGCCAGCAGCCGCGGUAAUACGGGGGGUGCGAGCGUUGUCCGGAAUCACUGGGCGUAAAGGGCGCGUAGGUGGUCUGAUAAGGGUGUGGUGAAAGUCCGGGGCUCAACCCCGGAUCUGCCGUGCCGACUGUCAGACUCGAGGACCGUAGAGGCAGACGGAAUUCCGGGUGUAGCGG
rnacentral:rRNA from 1 species